GCGUGCCGUGUGGGCUUGGGCUCGGCGCGUGGCGAGGCAGUGGAGAGGUCAGAGGUGGUGGGGGUUCGGCGGCCGCGCCCGCGCGCCAUGUGGCGAGACGAGAGCACGCGGUUUCGGACGAGGGGGGUUCGUCGUUUUCUAAAGGUGUUUUUUCGUCUCGUUUUCAAAAUCAUCUUGUUCACGUGCAACAUGGAAGCUGAUAUCUCCAUGUCAUUGAUGGUCUUCGUGAACAACUGAAACUGCAAUAAUAUAAGGACUGAAAAGAACAUUGAGAUCUAUUGCAUGGUCACUAGCGUGUUCCUCUUCUUGGAGAUAGUGGGACUGACCUUCGGUGAGUUGAUGGACUUCAUCUUCCUGAAGAUGGUGCAUAUCAUCUCCAUCAUCAGCUGGUUGUUCAUUUAGAUCAGGCAAGAGCUCUCCACUUUCUUCAUCAGGUGCUAUAUUUAGGGCGUGUUUACUUUCCAAAAAUUUUCACCUCGAAAUUUGUGCCUCUCCUUUUGGACACGUGUAUGGAAUACUAAAUGUAGUUAAACAACAAAACUAAUUGCACAGUU